CACACAGCAGCUGAUGAUGAGAGCGACUGCAUUCCUUUUCGUAUGCGCAUUAGCGCUCCAAGGAGUUCUCAAUGAGGAAUUGAAUUUGGCUGAUGCUGAAGGCGAGGAUCAAACUACUGAUACUGCAACGGUCGUGAAGGAUCGUAAGAAUG